AGCAGCCGCCGCGGUAAUACGUAUGUCACAAGCGUUAUCCAGAUCUAUUGGGCGUAAAGCGCGUCUAGGUGGUUAUGUAAGUCUGAUGUGAAAAUGCAGGGCUCAACUCUGUAUUGCGUUGGAAACUGUGUAACUAGAGUACUGGAGAGGUAAGCGGAACUACAAGUGUAGAGGUGAAAUUCGUAGAUAUUUGUAGGAAUGCCGAUGGGGAAGCCAGCUUACUGGACAGAUACUGACGCUGAAGCGCGAAAGCGUGGGUAGCAAACAGGAUUAGAGACCCCUGUAGUCCCUGUCUCUUAUACC
rnacentral:rRNA from 1 species